UGGAAGGUCAAAUUAAAAAAAAAAAAACAAAGUAGCAAACAGGACGCGAUUGAAGUACCUCACGCGCAAAUUGACCAUUUCAGAGGACAGGGCGUGGAUCUGGGUAGCCCAGCGGGUUAGUGCGCGGACCCUCAAAGCUUGGACGGCGCCGUUUUUGUUAUACACCUAAAACUAAAAGAAAAUAAAUGGCCAUCAGCCAUUUCUUCAAAGCACGAAUUGAAUACCCAAUUAUUAGGGUUUCAACUCAACGGCCUUCAUUUGCUAAGGCUAUUUCAUCAUCAAUUCACCAUUAAAAUUGGUGAUUGAUGUAGGUUCGGCCUUUAUUUCUAUGGAAAAUCAACACUCAAAAAUCACUUUUACUUAUGGAUCCGCAUUUCUAACCCCGAUUUUGACGGAGAAGCCAAGGGAUCUCAUCAAUGUAUUUAGCAGAGGUACAUUCGUAGGCUUUUAUAGCGGAAUUUACAGAGUAAAAUAAAAUAAAAAAUAAACAUAAAAAUACAUUUUUUUGCUGUUAUUUGCUGUACACAAGCAUGAGCGGAGACGCGCGCGAGGGGCUGGUGGCGCACGUGUGGUGCUGGAGACCGACUGUUAGUUGCGGCGUGAGGGGAGAUAGCUAACUGCUGGUGUUUUCCGGAAACCUCUAGGGUUUCUGGUGUUUUCAGUUAUUGGGCCUUUUUUCGGGUCAUUUUGUGUCUCUGAUUUGGGCUUGUUUAAUGGACUAUUAAUUUGGACUUUA